UUUAAAUCUUAUUUUUUGAUCUUUUGUUUCUGAAACUCAUAGGAAAUCAGGAAAAAUUGUAAACGUGAACCAUUCAAUCCUCCCUAGAAGUCGGAAAAGCUAUACCCAUUUUGGUGAUGAUAAGUUCUCAGGGCUCUUCGUCUGGCAUUGCCUAUCACAAGUGUAGCCAAUUGCCCCUACCUUCAAAACCUAAACAACAUUUAGGGAAAUGUUGAAUCUGCAAGUGCAUUGUUGCAGCUUCUUUUAUGUUCUCAACUUUUAGAUUAUAAUUAUGAAUCACUUUUGUCUCCAUUAACUACUCAGGUGCAUUCAAGUAACCAAUUGUUUUUGCCUUUAAUAAGUACAGAUACAAGCAACCACAGCAACAUUUAGGAUAUUUUCUUUGAAGUGGGAUGCAAAUGACAGAUAUAGGAUUCUUGGAUACUUAUUACAGUAUAUCGUAUACAGGAAAUGGCAUGUAAGAUUAUUAUAAUUAUUUAUAAAAUCAGCUUCUUUCCUGCCAAACCUGGGUACACCUGGUAGCCCUUGUGAAUUGCCGGAGUUGAUGAAGUCUAUGGAACAGUUUUCAGAGGUGGUGGUUCUUCUAUGUUGAGUUUCCUUAGUGCCAUCUUUAAAAAGCAGCUACAAGAACCCAACUGAAUCCAUGUGACUUUCAAAAGCAGCUGCUUUUGGUUAUGAUGAUACUUGGUGCAGUUUGUAACGACAAAUCAAGUUCUGGGUUCAGUUCUUUCCCUGAUUUUCAUCAUGAUUUGAUCAGAAUUCUAUGAUUAUUGUAACUUUAUAUCAUUUACAAUUGCAAGCAAUCAGUUGAUUAGUUUGCCUACGUUUAAUUAAAUAUGAACUUGUUACUUCAUCUGUUGCUUAUUUCUGUUGAAAGAGGUGGCAGGCCAGAUUAAGAAAAUGACUCUGAAAAUCCGCCGGCCCUCCUUGAGAUAUUGAGUUGAUAAAGUAUGCAGAACAGUUUUUAGAGGUGAGGCAUGAUAAAUACAUAGUUUU